AGUUAUGAAGGGCCAUUUUGGGACCAGAAGUGGAGUACGAGAUCAUUUUGGUCUCUGCCUGUCAUCUCCUUCUCUUUUUCUCUAUUUUGGUCCAUUUUGGGACCAGCGCAUGGAAGGAUCUUUGUCCUCGACAUCUGCACAUGGCAUGCACAAUUAAUUUGGUUAUUGCAAGUUAAACCUUGUUGGAAUAUUUCAAAAUUCCGAGUCUGUCCUUCUUUGUCUUUUGUCUUUUUGUCUAGUGUACUUUCUUUAGUCCCACAUUGGAAAGGAACAAAACUCAAAAAAUCUUUAUAUAGUAUUCAACCUUUUAACUUGGUGAAGCAAAGAAAGAAAGUAGCCCACGCGCACAUGAGCCCAAUGGAGGUCCAAGCCAAAAUUGGCGAAUCCGAUCCGGACGCGUUGCGAUUAUCACGCGCAGGGGGGACCCCCCCCCCGCGGGUGUGGGCUUGAGUCAGGUUUCUUUUUGCCGUUUUAUUUUUUGAAUUGUUUUGAUAAAACGUCGCACCUCUUUCGUAAAACGACAUGUCUUUUAAAUACGCCUCUUCAUUUCUUUUUAAACCCUAUCAGAUCCGAUAGAGUUAAUCAAUCAAAAAAAAGCCGCGCUUGGAGUGAUCCAGUUGUUGUAUCCUGGAGGAUAGGCCGCCAUUACCUGUUACACCGAGAUUCAUUCUCCGAGGGGCGCGAUCUAUUCUUAAGGACAGUGAAAUCACGCCUCAACUGAUAAGUUCUUCCUUCUCUCUAUCUAUCAUUUUUCUUACAAACCUAUCAUGCUUAACUAGUUUAAAGUUCAAUUAGACAAAUGGAGGCCAACUAAACUUUUAUCUUUUUACAACAAUACACAUAGCUUUCGUGAUAUUGGUGCUUACCAUCUCUCAAAGGAAAACUAGGCAAUGCAUGGAUAUUUCUCAAAGCAAUCUACUUAUAGCACGUGAUGUAUUUUUUCA
rnacentral:lncRNA from 1 species